rnacentral:rRNA from 1 species
AUUGAACGCUGGCGGCAGGCCUAACACAUGCAAGUCGAACGGUAACAGGAAGCAGCUUGCUGCUUUGCUGACGAGUGGCGGACGGGUGAGUAAUGUCUGGGAAACUGCCUGAUGGAGGGGGAUAACUACUGGAAACGGUAGCUAAUACCGCAUAACGUCGCAAGACCAAAGAGGGGGACCUUCGGGCCUCUUGCCAUCGGAUGUGCCCAGAUGGGAUUAGCUAGUAGGUGGGGUAACGGCUCACCUAGGCGACGAUCCCUAGCUGGUCUGAGAGGAUGACCAGCCACACUGGAACUGAGACACGGUCCAGACUCCUACGGGAGGCAGCAGUGGGGAAUAUUGCACAAUGGGCGCAAGCCUGAUGCAGCAAUGCCGCGUGUAUGAAGAAGGCCUUCGGGUUGUAAAGUACUUUCAGCGGGGAGGAAGGGAGUAAAGUUAAUACCUUUGCUCAUUGACGUUACCCGCAGAAGAAGCACCGGCUAACUCCGUG